GAUGAACGCUAGCGGGAGGCCUAACACAUGCAAGCCGAGCGGUAGAGAUUCUUCGGAAUCUUGAGAGCGGCGUACGGGUGCGGAACACGUGUGCAACCUGCCUUUAUCAGGGGGAUAGCCUUUCGAAAGGAAGAUUAAUACCCCAUAAUAUAUUUGAUGGCAUCAUUAGAUAUUGAAAGCUUUGGCGGAUAGAGAUGGGCACGCGCAAGAUUAGAUAGUUGGUGAGGUAACGGCUCACCAAGUCGAUGAUCUUUAGGGGGCCUGAGAGGGUGAUCCCCCACACUGGUACUGGGACACGGACCAGACUCCUACGGGAGGCAGCAGUGAGGAAUAUUGGACAAGGGGUUAGCGCCUGAUCCAGCCAUCCCGCGUGAAGGACGACGGCCCUAGGGGUUGUAAACUUCUUUUGUACAGGGAUAAACCUACUCUCGUGAGAGUAGCUGAAGGUACUGUACGAAUAAGCACCGGCUAACUCCGUG
rnacentral:rRNA from 1 species